rnacentral:rRNA from 1 species
UACGAAGGGGGCUAGCGUUGUUCGGAAUCACUGGGCGUAAAGCGCACGUAGGCGGAUGUGCCAGUCAGGGGUGAAAUCCGGAGCUCAACUCCGGAACUGCCUCUGAUACAGCACGUCUUGAGUUCGAGAGAGGUGGGUGGAAAUUCCUAGUGUAGAGGUGAAAUUCGUAGAUAUUAGGAAGAACACCGGUGGCGAAGGCGGCCCACUGGCUCGAUACUGACGCUGAGGUGCGAAAGCGUGGGGAGCAAACAGGG